rnacentral:rRNA from 1 species
AGAUAUGAUCCAGAGUACCACGGGCCACGUGAAACCCUGUGGGAAGCAGGAGGGACCACCCUCCAAGGCUAAAUACUACCUAGUGACCGAUAGCGUAUAGUACCGUGCGGGAAAGGUGAAAAGAACCCCGGGAGGGGAGUGACAUAGAACCUGAAACCCUGCACUUACAAGCUGUGGAAGCACAUUUCUUGUGUGACCGCGUACUUUUUGUAGAACGGGCCAACGAGUUACGUUA